UGCAAGCUCAGAAGGAGGCUCCUCCACUCAUGCAAUGUAAAGACAAGUUUCUCCUUCAGAGUGUAUGUAACUGUAGGCUCAGGAGCAACCACAAAGGAUUAUGUUAAUAACCAUUUCAGGUCCUUAGGAGGAUGCUUCCAGCGUACUUUCAGCAUAUGAAAUCCUACAAAAUAAGGGGGAGUGUGCAUGAAAAGAUAAUGGAUAUGCUCCCUGGCGCAAAAAUGCACCUUUCACAUGGGCUAUAAAAUGGAGAGUUUGCUGAGUGUUGUGGAGAUCAAUGCUAUGGAUAAUAAUGUAUUUGAUACCAAGGAAAAAAAUAUGGACCAGAUUUCCUCCGGAAGGAUCGAAACAUACUCCACCUCGUCAGUCGUGUGAUUUUAAAUUUAAAGUCUAUUGUCCAUCGGUUUUCAGGACACUUAGGAAUUUGUUUAACGUGGAUCCAGUGGAUUACAUGUUAUCAAUUUGCAGGAAUGAGGCUCUCCGGGAGCUCUCAUCUCCUGGAAAAAGCGGCUGUUUCUAUUACAUGACAUCCGAUAACAAGUAUAUGAUAAAGACAAUGAAAAAGGCAGAAGUUAAAGUGAG